AUUCUACUCCCUCCCUUGCACAAUACAUGCCUUCUAUUUAUCAAAAUAUAUAUAUGUAUCUAGACAUGUCUUAGUAUAUAGGUACAUCCAUUUUUGGACAAAUGGAAGUCAAGUAUUUUGGAACGGAGGGAGUACACA
rnacentral:pre_miRNA from 1 species